GCAGCGCUGAGGGGGACGGCGUCCAUGCCGGGCCCGCUGGCAACUACAGCCUUCCGGCGCCGGGCUUCCGCUCGUCCGCAUUCCUGCGCCGGCGCAGCCGUAGCGGCAGUUUCCCGCCAGCCUCGUGACGUUCCCACCUGAGCUCACGCCGCACCCCUUCGCCGAGACUCGGCACUGAAAGCGCGUGCGCAGCGGCCCCACCGCGGCCGGCAGGCUAGGAGCGCGCGCGGCCUGCGCAUGCGCAGUGGCCCGCGCUCGUUGCCGCCUCCCGGCGGCCGAGCCCGGGUGCCGCGCGUGCGCGCCGCAGCGCCUCGGCGAGGGACCGGCGGUCCUGCAGCGUCCCGGGAGCGCUGGGCGGAGGCCGCGGCCGGCUCGCUGCUGCCGCCCGCUGCUCAGGGCUGCCCGGGGGAAGGGGGCACAGGGGCGGCCGCGGCUCCGAUUCAGCAUCCAGAAAAAAAGUAAAUCAGCUGGAGAGUGAAGUUAAGGGGAUCCAGGCAGAAGCUGCCUCCAGCUGCAGACAGGAGGCAGUCUGGCCUUCCAGGUGAGGAAGGAUCCCUCCUAGCAGUUCUUACCAGACCAGAUCACCAAUAUCCAUCGCAUAGUCUGUAUAUGUGGCCAAAAGUACAGUAUGGCCGUGUAGCACGUGCACGUGAAGCUAUGUAUUUAGGAAACCUCAUAUUGUUCAGUACAUGUGUAUUGAAUGUAUUCUCUUGAGUGGUUGACAGUCAAGCGACCAGAGCUGCAGAAGGAGAAAGCCAGGAGAGAGAGAGCAGAGAGAAGAGAGCGUCUGAACUGUAAAAUUUUGCUGGCAGCACCGGAAACAGGAGCUGUGAAAGGACUUUAACAGUAUGUGGACUGUGAAAGGCCUUUCUUUUCUGGAGAAAUGAAAGAAUUGGCAGUCAGACCAGAAGCGUUGAGGGUGCUCAGCCAGCAUGGAGGGACACAAAGAGAAGGACUUCCCUCAUGGAGGCUUCUUGCUGUUAGACCAGGUUAUCUUUAGCAUACUACAAUGGCAAGAGAGAAUAUCAAGGACUUCCUUUUGGAAGCACUGGAGGACCUCACAUUGGAUAUGUUUGAGAAGUUUAAAUAUAAAUUAUCAUAUAUUGAUUAUGAUGAGAUGGCCAAUCUCUCCAAGUAUUUGCUCAAGAAAGCCAAUGGCCCAGUUGAACUUGCAGACUACGUGUGUGAUCACUACAGAGCCAACCUUGCUGUGCAUGUAGCUAUCUAUGUACUUAAAUGGACCAACGAAAGAGACACUGCAGCUAAACUUGAACAGGAGAAAGGAAAAGGUAAAGGAACUUUGCUUACUGGCACUUUUGUAUCCUUCUUUUUGAUUGUUCCUAGAAAAUAUGUAGAAGAACCUUCAUCAAAUAGAGAGACAGCAGGUUUCAAAACCCUGUGGACGUCUGAAAACCCAAAGGACCCCGGGGUGCUGCCUCCUUAUGCCUGGAGUUGCAUAACUCUCCUCUUGCCUUUGGUCUUCCUGCUCAUUUAGGUGACUGCUGCCAAAAUCUCUGCACACUCUGCAGGACCACCUGCUCCUGGCCUAUAAUGUAAGGAUACUAGGGUCUCCAGAGGCACUUCCUCUGCUGUCUUGUCUGCUCUGCCUUGCUGAAGGUAUUUUAAGGGAGUUUCUAAGGGCAGAGACACCAAGAGAACUGUUCUGCUCCCUGCCUGACACACACCACUGACUGUUUCUGUAGCACUACUCCACUAACAGCUACAUACAAUUUCUCUUUCAGCCCUGAGGCCUAGUCCACCCCGUGCUUCAUUAAGUCCAAGGUAUGUGUCAUUAGAAUAGAUGUGUUUGGGUUUUAUUACCUACACACUCCACCUACUAGCAGAAAGUGUAUGAUCAUAGCCAUGAUCCUGACGCCCCAGCAGGGUCAGAAGGAAAAUAAGCAAGUAGCAGUUAUAUGCCUGUGGGGAAAAAAAAAGUGUACUGCUAUAGAGGUCAGUAGUAGAAACUGGUUCUUUGCACUAUUUUCAACUUCAACUGAGGUGUGAUUGCAUUUCAGUGAUGGGUGAUGGGCAUGUCAGACUUUUUGUCAUCUCAGCAUCAGUAAUAGAAUUGGAAGAACAAGGCCUAUUGAAUGAUGCAGAGAUCCUUUAAAAUGGAAGAGAUCAGGUCAACUCAAGGUACAUUAAUUUUGCAGCCCAAAUAUUUUAAUUUUAGCAGGAGAAUUAACAUUGACUUUAAUUUCAAAUUCUUUUAUUGCACAUCCUUGAUUUAGAUUACAAGAUGAAGUACAGAGAAUGUGUACAAAAGAGUUACCACUGGAUAAAAGACAUGAAUGUUCAUGUUAGUGAGACAAGGACUCUGUACUCCAGAUGUGCAAGGCUGGUUCUUGUUAGUGGACAUCAUGAAAAAACAGAAAGAACAUGUAAUUAUGGCUGUGGGACAGAGACAUACAGAAAUCAUGCAGGAACAUCCUCCAUUGUUAUAAGGGAUCUUUUUAAGCCUGACAGAGAUAGACAGACACCAAAGACUGUUGUGAUAUUGGGAGCUGCAGGAAUUGGGAAGACAAUGACAGUAAGAGAGAUUAUGCUGGACUGGGAGUCAGAGGAACUCUAUAGACAAUUUGACUAUGUUUUCUGCAUACAUUGUCAGGAGGGCAAUCUUACAGCUCAGGGAAGUAUGGCCGACAUGAUCUCCAAAUGCUGUCCCAGUGAUAAUCCACCUCUUGUAGAGAUCUUGAGGAGGCCAGAAAAACUACUGUUUGUCAUCAAUGGCCUUGAUGAACUGAGGGUUUUUGACCAGCCACAAAAUGACCUGUCCUCUGAUCCCUGGGAGAGGAAGCCAGUGAAAAUCAUCCGGAGCAGUUUAUUUAGGAAAAUCCUUCUCCCUGAAUGCUUGCUGUUGACCACAAGACCAGCUGGUAAGCGAUUACGUUGAUAAGCAAUGUGAAAUCCCACUAACAGAAGGCCGAAGGUGGCAUCCCUCAGGGAUCAGUACUGGAGUCAAUACUGUUUAAAGUCUUUUUUUACAGUCUGGUGAUGGAACAGAAUCUGUUCUCAGCACGUGUGAGGAUUGUUAGGAAGUGUUUGGCAGGAUGUAGGUGCUGUCACGUGUGAACUACAUACUAGCAUGGCAACUCAAAAAUGGUCAGUCUCUGUCCUGAGUGUUCCUUGCUGGCCAUGUAAAGCACUGCCUCCCCCUCAGUCUCCCAUCCCUAGCACCUGCAUUCUUCUCUGGUCCUUCUGAUGCUUGUGGUAUCGCCUGAACAAUAGGCUUUGGUUAUUUUUGUGAUUUAGGCAUUUGCGAUCAAGGGCAGGGCUGAGCAAAAGGCACCUCCAGACAGCACCAGUCACAUGACUUAUACAUCUUAUUAAUGCUUUUCCCAUUCUUCACCCUCCCUUUCACAGCUAUUUUUCCUCUUUCCUUUUCCCAUUCAACUCCCAAUUCCUAAUUACUUUUUCCCAUCCAUCUCUUUUGCUAUACGCAUCUCCAAAUUUAGUAUUUCUGACACUGAUGCAAUUUAAGCCUUAAAUGUUAUCACUGAUAUGGGCACCUAAAUGCUGUUGGCUUUGUAUGACGCUAGUCCCCUCAAAUUCCCCAAAGGUCCUCUCCAGUUAUCUGUGAAGUUCAGCUAUUUCUUACAUGACUGUCAUUUAACCAUAUAUGAAAUCCAGCCAUCUAACACAUGAAUGUAUAUUUUUCCAACUUCUCACACUCUUAUCUAUCAUGUCUGAAAUGUCUAAUGUCACAUCCAGUAGCUCAUCCUUUUCAGUUAGAUAAACCUCUGGCCAGGACCUAUUCAACAGCUACUUGCCCACAGCACUAGCAUGAAUGGUAUUAGAUUAGGAAGCAGUCAACCCACUGCAAGGGUUGCCAUUCAGGGACACCUCAUCAAGCUAGAAAACUGAGCAGACAGGAAGCUCAUUCAAGGCACUUUCAAAGUUCUUUCCCUGGAAUGAAAACAAAUCUUAAAAAAACCAACCCAACCCAAACAAAAACCCCCAUACAAUGGGACAGGCUGAGGGCUGCCUGGCUGGAGAGCAACUCUGCAGAAAAGGGCAUGUGGGGAGGGCUGAUCAACAAUAAGUUAAGAGGAAUCAACAGUGUGCCCUAGCAGCAAAGAAAGCCAGGCACAUACUGGGGUGUAUUGGCAGGAAUGUAGCCAGCAGGUAAAGGGAAAUUAUUCUUCCCCUCUCUUCAGCAAUUGUGAGACCUCAUUUUGAGUAGUGUGUCCAGUCUGGGCUCCACAAGACAAGAAAGACAUUGACACGCUGGAGAAGGUCCAGAAGUAGCCACAAAGAUUUUCAGGGUGCUGAAGCAUAUGGCAUAUGUGAUAACUUGUUAUAUUGAGUCUGAAGAAAAAACAGUUGAAGGGUGGAUCUUAACCACUGCACUGAAAUAGUACAACAGGAAAUGACCAUAGGUUGCAAGAAGGGAAUUUCCAUGCAAGGAUAUUUAUUUAUUUACUUACUAGUAUCAUGAAGGUGGUAAAAGACUGCAACAGGGAUCCAGAGAGGUUGUGACAUCUCAGUUACUGGAAAUACUCAAGUCCUGAAAUUCUACAAGCCUUAGAAAUGCUGCUCUAAGUUGGCCCUGUUUGGAGCAUGGGUUGGACCAUCAGAGGCCCCUUCCCUCCUAUAUCUAUGACUAGGUAGGGGACCCAUCCUCUAUGACUCUAAUUCCCUCUGUGGGAUAGUCAGAGUACUGCACUGGCAGGUGUAAUUGACACCUGCUGCAGUCUAGAAAUGUUUUACUGGCUUUGUCACUCCCCUCCUCAGACAGCUACAUCCCAUUCCUAAAACUAUUGCUCAACAUCAACCUCCUCUUAUCCUUGUUAAUGUAAGGAUACGAGCUAUUUAGAAUUAGAUCUUUGCUUAUGUAUUGAAUAAGACCUGAGACUGGAGGCAGAAAGGUCUUUUACUUCCUGCCUUCCAGGAGAGAGGGAUUAAUUUCUUAAAACCAUAGAGGACUUACUGUGAACUUUGGUGGUUUGUGCCUCCUUGCAGCGGAAAGAAUGCUGCACAAAGAAGACUCUCAUGCUGAAGAGGGCCAUUUGUAGGCAAGGAUUAAGAGUCAAGGACCAUUCCUAGAGCUACUGAGAUCCUUUCUUCAAAAAGACGCAGUCUUGCACUGUGUUCUGUGGCUGAGAAGGUGAUUAUAGCACAAGCCUCAGUUUUCCCCCCCUGAGGUACAGCCCACUCGGCUAUAUGUACUCAGCUUAU